AUGGCAAUUGGUUCUCGAUAGCACGAGCAUCCAACGAACCGAAACUCCUCAGGACGGUCUCAGACACGAUGUUCUUCAUCCACAAGACCCACGUGACCUUCAAGGCCAUGCAGUUCCACGUCCACAGAAGGGUAAAGGGUAGGUGUAUCCCAAUUGUACUGACGGCAAGUAAGACGAGAAGGAAGUUUCAGUACGUGCUGAAACAUGCUGGCCACAACACGAUCUUCGUGGAGAAGGCGGAUCCCCACCGCUUUGUCACCUUCUGCAUCCACAACAGGAGGCACAGGAAGAAGACGGUGAUGGUGGGCC